rnacentral:rRNA from 1 species
GACGAACGCUGGCGGCGUGCUUAACACAUGCAAGUCGAACGGUGAACGAGGGAGCUUGCUCCCUCCGGAUCAGUGGCGAACGGGUGAGUAACACGUGAGCAAUCUGCCCCGAACUCUGGGAUAAGCGUUGGAAACGACGUCUAAUACCGGAUACGACGCGGGAGGGCAUCCUCUCCGCGUGGAAAGAACUUCGGUUCGGGAUGAGCUCGCGUCCUAUCAGCUUGUUGGUGAGGUAACGGCUCACCAAGGCGAGGACGGGUAGCCGGCCUGAGAGGGUGAGCGGCCACACUGGGACUGAGACACGGCCCAGACUCCUACGGGAGGCAGAAGUGGGGAAUAUUGCACAAUGGGCGCAAGCGUGAUGCAGCAACGCCGCGUGAGGGACGACGGCCUUCGGGUUGUAAACCUCUUUUAGCAGGGAAGAAGCGAAAGUGACGGUACCUGCAGAAAAAGCACCGGCUAACUACGU